rnacentral:rRNA from 1 species
CACACGACUCUCGGCAACGGAUAUCUCGGCUCUCGCAUCGAUGAAGAACGUAGCAAAAUGCGAUACCUGGUGUGAAUUGCAAAAUCCCGUGAACCAUCGAGUUUUUGGACGCAAGUUGCGCCCGAGGCCUUCUGGCUGAGGGCACGCCUGCCUGGGCGUCACGC